rnacentral:rRNA from 1 species
GAUGAACGCUGGCGGCGUGCUUAACACAUGCAAGUCGAACGAAGCACCUUGAUUUGAUUCUUCGGAUGAAGAUCUUGGUGACUGAGUGGCGGACGGGUGAGUAACGCGUGGGUAACCUGCCUCAUACAGGGGGAUAACAGUUAGAAAUGACUGCUAAUACCGCAUAAGACCACAGCGCCGCAUGGUGCAGGGGUAAAAACUCCGGUGGUAUGAGAUGGUCCCGCGUCUGAUUAGGUAGUUGGUGGGGUAACGGCCUACCAAGCCGACGAUCAGUAGCCGACCUGAGAGGGUGACCGGCCACAUUGGGACUGAGACACGGCCCAAACUCCUACGGGAGGCAGCAGUGGGGAAUAUUGCACAAUGGGGGAAACCCUGAUGCAGCGACGCCGCGUGAGCGAUGAAGUAUUUCGGUAUGUAAAGCUCUAUCAGCAGGGAAGAAAAUGACGGUACCUGACUAAGAAGCACCGGCUAAAUACGUGCCAGCAGCCGCAGUAAGAC